UGACCUCAAAUCAGGUAGGACUACCCGCUGAACUUAAGCAUAUCAAUAAGCGGAGGAAAAGAAACUAACAAGGAUUCCCCUAGUAACUGCGAGUGAAGCGGGAAAAGCUCAAAUUUAAAAUCUGGCAGAUUUUUGUCUGUCCGAGUUGUAACCUAGAGAAGUGUAACCUGUGCUGGACCGUGUACA
rnacentral:rRNA from 1 species